rnacentral:rRNA from 1 species
UACGGAGGAUGCGAGCGUUAUCCGGAUUUAUUGGGUUUAAAGGGUGCGCAGGCGGAUUUUUAAGUCAGCGGUAAAAUGUCCGGGCUCAACCCGGGCCGGCCGUUGAAACUGGGGAUCUUGAGUGGGCGAGAAGUAUGCGGAAUGCGUGGUGUAGCGGUGAAAUGCAUAGAUAUCACGCAGAACUCCGAUUGCGAAGGCAGCAUACCGGCGCCCGACUGACGCUGAGGCACGAAAGCGUGGGGAUCGAACAGG